CCUACGGGAGGCAGCAGUGGGGAAUAUUGCACAAUGGGGGAAACCCUGAUGCAGCGACGCCGCGUGAGCGAUGAAGUCUUUCGGUAUGUAAAGCUCUAUCAGCAGGGAAGAAGAUGACGGUACCUGACUAAGAUGCCCCGGAUAACAACGUGCCAGCAGCCGCGGUAAUGCGGAGGGGGCCAGCGUUAUCCGGAUUUAAUGGGUGUAAAGGGUGCGUAGACGGCGUAGAAAGCCAGAUGUGAAAGCCCGGGGCUCAAACCCGGGAUGGCAUUUGGAACUGUGUGGCUGGAGUGUCGGAGAGGUAGGCGGAAUUCCUAGUGUAGCGGUGAAAUGCGUAGAUAUUAGGAGGAACACCGAUGGCGAAGGCAGCCUACUGGACGAUGACUGACGUUGAGGCUCGAAAGCGUGGGGAGCAAACAGGAUUAGAUACCCUAGUAGUC
rnacentral:rRNA from 1 species